GCCUUCGUGGUGUAGUGUGGUCAGCACACUGGACGCAGAACCGAGAGGUCCGUGGUUCGAUUCCCGGCGAGGGCU
rnacentral:tRNA from 1 species